AUGUGGUUAAGUCCGUACGAGCGCAACCUUGUCCUUAGUUACCAGCACGUUAUGGUGGGCGACUCUAAGGAGACUGCCGGUGACAAACCGGAGGAAGGUGGGGAGUGACGUCAAGUCAUCAUGGCCCUUACGGCCUGGGCUACACACGUGCUACAAUGGUCGGUACAAAGGGUUGCCAAGCCGCGAGGUGGAGCUAAUCCCAUAAAACCGAUCGUAGUCCGGAUCGCAGCCUGCAACUCGACUGCGUGAAGUCGGAAUCGCUAGUAAUCGUGAAUCAGAAUGUCACGGUGAAUACGUUCCCGGGCCUU
rnacentral:rRNA from 1 species